rnacentral:tRNA from 1 species
UUCUAAUUAAUUUAUUAAAAUAUCUACUUUGGAUGUAGAAAAUCUAUAAUAUUAAUAU